GGCCGGGCCAGUGGCGGUCGCGUCCUCUGGGCGCGUACUGUCGUGGUCGGGCCUUGCCUUCUGGCUAACCGGUGUGCCCUUCGCGGGGUGCGCCGGCGACCCAGGACCUUUACCUUGAAAAAAUUAGAGUGUUUAAGGCAGGCUGUUGCUUGAAUACAUUAGCAUGGAAUAAUAGAAUAG
rnacentral:rRNA from 1 species